rnacentral:lncRNA from 1 species
GUAACACACCUAUGUCUAAAGCUUGGAAGGUGAUGAAAACUGUUGUGAAAAACUGCAACAAAACGAAGUCAAAAAAACGAACUAACAGUUAGAUACUGUUUGAAGGUACUAGAACGAUGGUAAAUAUCCAAAAUGAAUGGAGAGGGGGAUGGAUGAAGCAAUGUGUUAGAGUCAGGCAACCAGGACGGGGCCAGCUGGAAAUAAGAGGGGGACUUGGGAUCUUAUUUGGAAUGAAGCUUCUGGAAGGUUUUUGGAGAGUUAGGAUCUGAUUUAGGUUUUAUGGAGCCAUUUCUAAUGGCCUUGCCGAGAACACAGUAAGGCAAGGCCGGCAUCAGGAACGGUGGAGAGGCUUUAAUUGUGGAGGUGGCAGCUGCCAGAGGUGGGACAGGGUGCCCCCGAGAGGCAAAGUCACUGUUUGCACCUGGCUCCACAUGCUAAGACAAGUUACUGAUAGUACUCACAGGCUAGAGAGACCACUCAAGCAGCCCUGACCACUCUUCCAGAGGACCCAGGUUCACCUGGCGCACCCACAUGGCAGCUCACAAGCGUCUGUAACUCCAGCAUCAUGGGUUUCGACUCCCUCUCUGGAUUCCAUGGGCACUGUGGAAGUACCCAGGCUCCUCCUGGAAAGCAGAACGGUGAUGCCAGGAUGACCAAAUCAAAACCUUUGUUUGCAGAUCUUUGCAUGAAACAAAGUCCUGGAGUUGUAGCAACUCAUAAAUAACCUUGCUGAAGCCUUCAACUGGUGACCCAGCAGCUUCCAGCUUGUCAAUAGAUGUGAUUGAGUGUAAAGCCUCUUGGCAGCCAUCGUGGAGCUAAGGCAACCCCUGCAGAAGUUACCUCCACAGAGGAUCGACUGCCCACAAUUCCUGGCUGGGGCACCAAAGCCUCAGGAGACAAGCUGAGGCUUUAGACAAACAUCAUACCUUCCCCAAAAUGGUCAUGAAUUGAGGUAAGCCAGAGAGCAUGGUGAGCCUGAGACCUGCUGAUGAAUGGCAGGCUUUCCAGCCAAGAAUAUUACUGGAUCUUUCUUGUCCUGAUUCGGCUUCCUAACUUGACCUUACUUGAAAACAGAAUGGGCUAUUUCGAGGUUGAGAGUGAGGAUUUAUUGCCACGGAAUUUGUGAAUUAGUUUUCUUCUCUAUUGGGACCUGAGCCUUUGGUUCGUCUUCAGUGGGGUUUGACCUUGAACCACAUGCUGCCUGCGCUGCCCUUGACACCGGACCAAGUAUCUAGCUUCAGAAUGGAAGAUUGGAGAGCUUCCUCUGUCUGUCCUGCUGCUUCCUAAAUAGACCCAGAUAGUAACACUGAAAUGGUGAAAACAAGAGUAUUGCUUUUAUCAGCCUUGUGGUUUCCAACCAAAGCCAACGAUACAUGGGAAAAGGGAAUGUGGAAAAGCUCAUGACUGUACUCAACCAACAAAGCCAAGCUCACAUACUCUUGUAUGACCUGCCGGUGUAAGCCAAGCAAACCUUUCCUUCCCUCAGCUGCCUUUGGUCCAGGCAUUUUUCUAACUGUGAACUUCAUAUUUCGUUUAUAUUGCUAACUCCGAUUUAAGAAAUGACAUCAGUUUAAGUAAUGUGAUCAGAAAGAAAGCUUUUCUAUGCGAGAUCAAUCUAGUCAACACUCCAGCUUGGACUGAGAGGGGCUCAUGAGCUCUUGCCCCUAGCUGAGGAGCUGGUGACAGUUUGUGGCCUCUGGGGGACAUUAUCUUAAGAGCAUAACCCAUGGUAGGUCAACCUAUGCUCCAGUGAUAUAUUGUUUAUGAUUUAAUAAAGCUUGCUUGGGGAUCAGAAUGCAAAGCUAGCCACACUAGUUAGCCAUAGAUGCCAGGCUAUGGCGGCACACACCUUUAAUUCUAGGACUCAGGAGACAGAGGCAGAUGGAUCUCUGUGAGUCUAAGCCACCCUGGGCUAUACAAGAAUAAGUCAGUCUGAAAGAGUAACAGAGCUCAUGCCUUUAAUCCCAGCACUAGAGAGGUAUAUAAGCAAGAGGUAAAGGGUCUCAUGUGAGAUUCAGUUUCCAGUCACAGGGAAGACAGGAUCUCCAUUUCAGUCUUGGUAGAGGUAAGAGCUACUGGCUGGCUGCUCUGCUUCUCUGAUCUUUAGCUUGAACUCCAAUACCUGGGUUUUUACUAUUCAUGCUACAGAAUGGUCCCAUACUCAUGAGUGUAAGAGCUGCACAAACUGGAUUGGUUACUUACACACACACACACACACACACACACACACACACACACACACACACACACUCUAAACCAAAGAGGACACAAAUUUGGAAAGGGGUGAGGGUUGGGGAUUGGAUCUGAGAGGAGUGAAUAUGAUCAUAUAUAUUAUAUUAUGAAAUUCUCAAUGCAAUAAUAAAAAUAUUGUAUUCUUUAAAUGAGCUGCAAUCAUUUUCCAGAUGAACAGGCUG